AUGGAGACACAUGUCAAAAGCACAGGAUCUGCUUCCUGUAGCAGGAGCCGGGAAGAUUAUGCCAUAGAUACUGUAGAAGCAAGACAUUUCAUCACAUCCAGGUUUCCAGGUCUUCUACAGCAGAGCUGGGUGAGAAAUAUCCUAGCCCAUGAGAAGAUUCCCUGUGUUCACACUCCAGGCAUCGUAGCCCCAUCAGGGCUGUCCAUAAAAGCAAAAAGAAAAAAGAGAAAGAAGAAAAAAGAAGCCCUCUUUCCUGUGAACUAUGACAACAGUAUAUCCAAAUACUGCCAAAUGCCUGGGAGCAACUGAAGAAAUCAGAACUGAAUCUCCUGAUGCAAAUACCAAUGGAGGGAGAAGACCAGAGUGACACCAGGAAGGGGACCCAGGGCGAGUUGUGGGAUGCUAAUAUAAUGUUUCUUCAUUUUGG
rnacentral:lncRNA from 1 species